rnacentral:lncRNA from 1 species
ACAAAUCCCAAAAUCAAAAUCUCGCUUAAAAUCAGACUCGUCUCUAAACUCGAUCAGAAUCAUCAGAUGAAGCCUUCCCCUAUGCUAAUCUUAGAAGGAUAACUUUAGAGAGAGAGAAAUCCAUCAAGAGAGAGAAAUAAGCUAGAGAGAGAAAAUUAUAAAGAGAGAAAGUAGAGAGAGAAAGUCCAAUUCCAGAGAGAGAAAGUCAGGGUUCAGACUGAAAGAAGAGAGAGAAGAGAGAAACUCUCUCUCUCAUCAUUUUUCUUUUAUUUUUU